rnacentral:rRNA from 1 species
AGAUAAGGAGCUUGCUCCUUUGACGUUAGCGGCGGACGGGUGAGUAACACGUGGGUAACCUACCUAUAAGACUGGAAUAACUCCGGGAAACCGGGGCUAAUGCCGGAUAACAUUUAGAACCGCAUGGUUCUAAAGUGAAAGAUGGUUUUGCUAUCACUUAUAGAUGGACCCGCGCCGUAUUAGCUAGUUGGUAAGGUAACGGCUUACCAAGGCAACGAUACGUAGCCGACCUGAGAGGGUGAUCGGCCACACUGGAACUGAGACACGGUCCAGACUCCUACGGGAGGCAGCAGUAGGGAAUCUUCCGCAAUGGGCGAAAGCCUGACGGAGCAACGCCGCGUGAGUGAUGAAGGUCUUCGGAUCGUAAAACUCUGUUAUUAGGGAAGAACAAAUGUGUAAGUAACUGUGCACGUCUUGACGGUACCUAAUCAGAAAGCCACGGCUAACUACGUGCCAGCAGCCGCGGUAAUACGUAGGUGGCAAGCGUUAUCCCGGAAUUAUUGGGCGUAAAGCGCGCGUAGGCGGUUUCUUAAGUCUGAUGUGAAAGCCCACGGCUCAACCGUGGAGGGUCAUUGGAAACUGGGAAACUUGAGUGCAGAAGAGGAAAGUGGAAUUCCAUGUGUAGCGGUGAAAUGCGCAGAGAUAUGGAGGAACACCAGUGGCGAAGGCGACUUUCUGGUCUGUAACUGACGCUGAUGUGCGAAAGCGUGGGGAUCAAACAGGAUUAGAUACCCUGGUAGUCCACGCCGUAAACGAUGAGUGCUAAGUGUUAGGGGGUUUCCGCCCCUUAGUGCUGCAGCUAACGCAUUAAGCACUCCGCCUGGGGAGUACGACCGCAAGGUUGAAACUCAAAGGAAUUGACGGGGACCCGCACAAGCGGUGGAGCAUGUGGUUUAAUUCGAAGCAACGCGAAGAACCUUACCAAAUCUUGACAUCCCUUUGACAACUCUAGAGAUAGAGCCUUCCCCUUCGGGGGACAAAGUGACAGGUGGUGCAUGGUUGUCGUCAGCUCGUGUCGUGAGAUGUUGGGUUAAGUCCCGCAACGAGCGCAACCCUUAAGCUUAGUUGCCAGCAUUAAGUUGGGCACUCUAAGUUGACUGCCGGUGACAAACCGGAGGAAGGUGGGGAUGACGUCAAAUCAUCAUGCCCCUUAUGAUUUGGGCUACACACGUGCUACAAUGGACAAUACAAAGGGCAGCUAAACCGCGAGGUCAUGCAAAUCCCAUAAAGUUGUUCUCAGUUCGGAUUGUAGUCUGCAACUCGACUACAUGAAGCUGGAAUCGCUAGUAAUCGUAGAUCAGCAUGCUACGGUGAAUACGUUCCCGGGUCUUGUACACACCGCCCGUCACACCACGAGAGUUUGUAACACCCGAAGCCGGUGGAGUAACUCAUUU